GGCGGCGGNGGUAGUAACACGUGGGUAACCUACCUAUAAGACUGGGAUAACUUCGGGAAACCGGAGCUAAUACCGGAUAAUAUUUCGAACCGCAUGGUUCGAUAGUGAAAGGUGGUUUUGCUAUCACUUAUAGAUGGACCCGCGCCGUAUUAGCUAGUUGGUAAGGUAACGGCUUACCAAGGCGACGAUACGUAGCCGACCUGAGAGGGUGAUCGGCCACACUGGAACUGAGACACGGUCCAGACUCCUACGGGAGGCAGCAGCG
rnacentral:rRNA from 1 species